GCCGCGGUCGCUUAGCUCGGUAGAGCGGUGGUCUCGAAAACCACUGUCUUCACGGACACGCAGGUUCAAAUCCUGCCCGCGGCG
rnacentral:tRNA from 1 species